GUUUCCAAGCAGGUGCUUCAUCUUUUGUUCUGAACAUGCAUAAUUCUGGGUCACCUCCAUAGGCCUGCCAGCAGCCCCAGGGUGGUUCUCCAGAACUUAAUGGUGCUCCAGCAAAAGGCCAUGAAAAGCCUACUGAACAGAGCAAUGCAAAGUUCACCAACCAGUUCUCUGAACAGACCAUCCACAGAGGUUUCGAUCCAGUUUGUUCCUCUGUGGACUGUGGACCUUGUCUUCUCAUUGCCAACCAGUUCCCACAUCGCAGCUGCCACGCUGGUCCAUCUGUCUCUUUCCAGGCCCUGCUCGGAAUUACACUGUGCCUCACAUUCCACCUUGUUCAGUUCUGUACUGCUGGGCCUCCAGGAUCACACUUGGACAAUGGAUAAGCAUGAAUCCUUGGUUUUCAUACUCUCUUAGUAUCUUGUGGUGGAUAUGUGGCUCAUGCUUAGAGGAAAACAUCACUAUCCUGAAUCCUGAAGAUUGUGUAUUUGCAGUACGGAACCUCUAUCUGGAUAUCUUAAAUAUUUUCUUGCUUGUAUUUCAUUUAUUUGGAUUUUCAUGCAGAUGACCUAAAAAGGGAACUGUGGCAUAAUUUCAAAGUGUAAGGCUAAUGAAAAAUACGUACAAAAAAUUUUGUCAGCUUCAUAUGUCACUACAGAAAGGGGUUCUAUAAAGAUCAAGACCUGCAUAAUUUAAUGUGACACCAUCCUGUCAACAGUUAGCUUUAACAUUUUGCUAGUGAGAUGUAAUCUUAAGUGUCUCUGAAGAGUAGGAGAAAACAGGGCUUUGCAGUUAAGAAGUUAGGAAGCAUUUUUUAUUUAGUCCAUUAUUGUAUUUUAAAUAAGUUUUCAUGAACUACUUACAUUGUUUUACGUUGUUAUAUAUUUGGACAAUAGUAUAAAUGCUACGCUUGACUAUUUUUAAAGAAGUCGACUGAAAGCAUAUCAUUGCAGAAAGUCAAGACUUCAUUCAUUCCUUUGCCCUUCUGCAAAGACUGACAGAAAACCCAUCUCAUGCAGUAAUUACAGGGGAUCCAUCGCCUCCUUUCAGUGCAUAUCCUGUGUUCAGCUAACAGGACUAAAUGGUAAAUUGAUAUUCAGUUUUGCAUCUUCACUAGCUUCUCUACAUCUUUCAAAUUUCCAUAUCUGGCUGACCUGCAACAGUAACAGGGACAAUAAUUGUUAUGUUGUCUAAUAACUCAGAGUAGAUUAGAUUGUCUGCACAGUUUUCAGUAAAGUAACUAGCUACCCCUGUAUCUGUGUUUGACUUCCAUUCUUACCAACCCCUGUGAGCAUUAUUUUGGGAUGCCUGAUGUGUGCUGGGAAAGGGAGAGAGAAGGAGGAG
ensembl:lncRNA